AGUGAAAUUGCUGGGCCAUAUGGUUAUGUUUAACUUUUUGAGGAAUUGCCAAACUGUUUUCCAAAAUGGCUGUACCUUUUAACAUUCCCACCAGCAAA
rnacentral:pre_miRNA from 1 species